rnacentral:rRNA from 1 species
GACGAACGCUGGCGGCGUGCUUAACACAUGCAAGUCGAACGGUGAACCAGGGCUUGCCCUGGGGAUCAGUGGCGAACGGUGAGUAACACGUGGGCAACCUGCCCCUGACUCUGGGAUAACUCCUCGAAAGAGGUGCUAAUACCGGAUACGACCACUUCGGGCAUCCGAUGGUGGUGGAAGAAUUUUGGUCAGGGAUGGGCCCGCGGCCUAUCAGCUUGUUGGUGGGGUAACGGCCCACCAAGGCGACGACGGGUAGCCGGCCUGAGAGGGCGACCGGCCACACUGGGACUGAGACACGGCCCAGACUCCUACGGGAGGCAGCAGUGGGGAAUAUUGCGCAAUGGGCGAAAGCCUGACGCAGCGACGCCGCGUGAGGGGACGAC